rnacentral:misc_RNA from 1 species
GAUGAAGAACGUAGCGAAAUGCGAUAAGUAGUGUGAAUUGCAGAAUUCAGUGAAUCAUCGAAUCUUUGAACGCACAUUGCGCCCCUUGGUAUUCAUGGGGCAUGCCUGUUCGAGCGUCAUUUGUACCUUCAAGCUCUGCUUGGUGUUGGGUGUUUGUCUCGCCUCUGCGUGUAGACUCGCCUCAAAACAAUUGGCAGCCGGCGUAUUGAUUUCGGAGCGCAGUACAUCUCGCGCUUUGCACUCAUAACGACGACGUCCAAAAGUACAUUUUUACACUCUUGACCUCGGAUCAGGUAGGGAUACCCGCUGAACUUAAGCAUAUCAAUAAGCGGAGGA